ensembl:lncRNA
CAGAAACGCUGCGUCUCAUCUCUCUCUGAAUCUGAAUCAGUUCAUCAUCGAGUACUGAUGGAGAAACGGAGCUUUUUGAAGAUCCGAGACAAUUGAAUCAAAUGAUUCACAAAAUGUUUCAGUGAUUCGAAUCAGCGCACGCUCAAAACAACAAACAAUGAAAACUUGAAUAAACCAACUGAUUUUUUUUUAUUGACAUUGUAAUCUAUUAAAUAUAUACAAAUCAGUAAACACCAAAUAUAAUCUUAUUAUAAAUAUGAAUAUUGUCAGAAAGCCUAUUUCAGGAACUAAAGUUCAAUAGUAAGGUUUACUACAAAUAUUUUAUUUUGUGUUCCUUCAUGUGCUAGUUUUUUUUCUCAUCAGAUGAUUUCAGUCCAGUAACUCUGACUCUGACUGACUCCCUUACUAGUGUGCUGACUACUGAACUAGGGAGCAGAUUGAGACGAGAGAGAUUUAGUUUGUGUUUAUUUUUCUUUCUGUUCAUUGUUCUCAUCUUAAACAGGACAGUGUUCAAACACACAGAAAAACUCCUGCUGAAGAUACUGAGACACACACUGUUAUAAAGAUGGAGUUUAUUAAAGAGGAGAGUGAAGACAUGAAGAUAGAAGAGACAUUCAGAGUCAAACAUGAAGAGACUGAGACACACACAGGUUCUGGGCGUCUGAAGAGCCAAACAGCUAUCAGGGAAAAGAGGAAGACACUGCUCUGAAUUAUUCUCCAGGAUGGGCUGAUUUUCCAUGUGAUGAUAUCUACAAAUGGAUCUGUGAGAAGAACAUUUUGAAAUGACUCAUUACAAUAAACUUUUAUUGAAUAUCUAAAUAUGUCUGUUA